CCGCGGGGGACCCGUUCUUCGAGGGCGUGGAGGCCGGGUAUGCGGAUUUUGUGUUUGCGGGUUUUUUGACAUGGUAUGAGCGCGGGGAUCGGGUGGCGUGGGAGCGGGUGGUUGGUGGCGGGGAUGGUGAGAUUAGGCGGUUGUGGGAGGCGUGCUUGCCGUGGAUCGAGGGGCAGGGGGUGGAUAGAGAGUAUGUGGUUGGGAUAUAGUGUCGUCCAUUGUUAAAUGUCGGAAGAAUAGUGGAUUACGAUACGCAGGGGAAGAAUUUAGCUACACAGACAACAAGGCCUGGGAAACGUGGUGAUCAUUAACGAUAUACUCUUGUAUGUCCCUCGAUGCUCUAACUGGCAGCUGGAGAAAAAAAAAGGCGGGGUAGGGGAAAGAGUGGGAGAAGGGAAAGAGAAAAGAUGAAUUACUCCCACACAAAAACCCACCCAGAGCAUAAACAAAAAGCAAGUGUCGUGGGAGUAUAUUAAAAUGUGAAGACAUUUCAGGCAACAAUUAAAAACCGGGUGGGAGUGAAAUAAACAGCACAACCCGACAGAUAUACUAGGUGCGAAGAAAAAUUAAAGGGGGAAAAACCGAUCUAACGCCAAAAUCUAUGUACUGAACAAACCAACCAUUAAACGGCAGCGAAAGGAGCUGAAGGGUGAAACAAAUUGGAGUAUCCAUCUUCCAAAUUACGAGGAAGAUAAUAGAACGAGACAGAUAACAAGACAGGGAAACAACACGGGUUCUCGAUGGAGAAAAGAAAAGAUUUAAAAUGAAGAAGGAUAUUAUGCCGCCAUACACCGAAGAAAUGAAGGUAAAGCAACAAAAAAAUAUAGAUAAAUAAUCAACAAAAUGGUAUUAUUCUAUGUAGAUGCCGGGUAAACAAAAGCGUAAGGGGUAAAGCAAAGAAAAGGAAGAAAUCUUUCGCCAUGUGGGUUCUUAGGAACUUGGCGGAUUGGGAGAGGUACCGGGAG
rnacentral:sRNA from 1 species